ACAAGCGGUGGAGCAUGUGGUUAAUUCGACGCAACGCGAAGAACCUUACCAGGGCUUGACAUCCCCUGACCGCGUAUCGAAAGUACGUUUUCACCCUCGGGUGACAGGGAGACAGGUGGUGCAUGGUUGUCGUCAGCUCGUGUCGUGAGAUGUUGGGUUAAGUCCCGCAACGAGCGCAACCCCUACGUUUAGUUGCUAACGCGUGAAGGCGAGCACUCUAGACGAACUGCCGUUGACAAAACGGAGGAAGGUGGGAUGACGUCAAAUCAUCAUGCCCCUUAUGUUCUGGGCUACACACGUGCUACAAUGGCCGGUACAGACGGACGCAAAGCCGCGAGGUGGAGCAAAUCCUAAAAAGCCGGUCUCAGUUCGGAUUGCAGGCUGCAAUUCGCCUGCAUGAAGUCGGAAUCGCUAGUAAUCGCAGGUCAGCAUACUGCGGUGAAUACGUUCCCGGGCCUU
rnacentral:rRNA from 1 species